ACUUGCGCAUUACUAGCACCAGCGAAAAUUUCAAAACAUUUUUCCAGCUUCCAAAUCCAAAAAGAAGAGAGAAAGGGAAGAAAGGAAAAUGAGCAACCUACUCUAUUCUAAUCCGUUAAUUCAGUUCAAAAUGAAGAUAAUCCCUGCUCAGUUCCCCGCCAAAAAAUCCACCAUGAAACCAGCGUCAAUCUCCUCUCGUCUUCAAAACUCGCAAACUCCCUCAAAUCAACAACUUAACCUAUCCGUUCUUCGCUUCACUCUCGGGAUACCUGGGUUGGACGAGUCCUAUUUACCCAGAUGGAUCGGGUACGGGUUCGCUUCGCUUCUCAUUCUGAACCACUUCCUGGGUUCGGAUUCUGCUACACCCACUCCGGCACAGCUUAGAACAGAAGCUAUCGGCCUUUCUUUGGCUGCAUUCUCCGUUAUAAUCCCCUAUCUUGGAAAGUUUCUUAAGGGUGCUAGUGCAGCAGAUCAAGCAACUAUCCCUGAAGGUACUGAGCAAAUUUUUGUCAUGUCACAAAACAUAUUGGAUACUAAGAAGGAAGACUUGGCUUGGGCAACUUACAUCUUGCUUCGCAAUACCAACACCAUUGCUGUGUUAAUAUCUGUUCAAGGUGCAUUAUGUGCACGUGGCUACUGGAAUAUACCAGAAGAGGCAUCAAGAAAAAAUUUACUUGAAUGGUUUGAGAAACAAAUUGAAAGGAUUGGCCUAAAAAAUCUGAAGGACACCCUUUAUUUUCCUCAGAAUUCAGAUUCUGUGCUUUGGGAGCUGUUACCCAAGGGGACUCGUUCUCUCCUGGUACAACCAGUGCUACAAGUUCCAAAACCUGGUGCCAAUCAGAUGGAAGGUAUUGAAGGUGAAGGUUUUGUCCUGUUGGCUUCAAGCAGGGGCUAUGCAUAUAGCGAUAGAGAUAAAGCCUGGAUAGGAGCUCUUGCAAACAAAUUUGGAGAAAAUUAGCUGGUAAGUACCUGUGCAUGACUUGCUUGAGAAGAAAGCGAAGUGUCUUGGUUGCUAUCUGCUUUUAAUUUGCUGCACUAACAAAAUGAGGGAGAAAAGGAAAUAAAGGAUGAUCAGCUAUUGAUCUUCAAUUGAUGAACACGUUAAAGUUCCAGAUUGUGGAGACGGAAAACGAUAUGGGUUUCUACAAAAAUUUCUCCAAGCCAUACACCAGAUUCUGCAAGAAAAAUUUACAAUGAAAGGGGCAUUUUCAUUUUGGAGAUGGACUAAAGCAAAAUGCUUGAAGACAUUAAAAAAUUAAAUGGCAUUGGAUUGGUUACCUUGAGGCGCACAACCUUUCUGAUGGCCAAGAUUAGGCCUGGCAUCAGACAUUGCACAUUGGUAAUAUCAUGUUUGAGGCAGUAUACCUGUGGUAAGCAGUAUUUAUGGAACAGAUUGUGAUGUUCGUAAACUGUUCAAGCUCAUGCUUCUGAAAACAAGAAAAGGAAAACCACUAACACACCUCUCCUGGGCCUGAGAAGUGGACUGUUGUACUUGAAGGAAGUCCUGGAAGGACUAAGCUAUGUACUCGAACCCCAUCUUCUCCUAGAACUUGACCCCUCGCCUUAUAGGAUGAAAAGACAAGUAAUGAACUGCUUUUGUAUCAUGUGGACCUCUGUAAAUGUUUGCUAGUUAUUUGAUUCUGUGAGAUCUAGAUUUUCCA